rnacentral:rRNA from 1 species
UGGGGAAUUGUUCGCAAUGGGCGCAAGCCUGACGACGCAACGCCGCGUGGAGGAUGAAGAUCUUCGGAUCGUAAACUCCUGUCGAGCGGGACGAACGGCCCGCGGCCGAAUACGCCGCGGGAGUGACGGUACCGCUAAAGGAAGCCCCGGCUAACUCCGUGCCAGCAGCCGCGGUAAUACGGGGGGGGCAAGCGUUGUUCGGAAUUACUGGGCGUAAAGGGCUCGUAGGCGGCCAACUAAGUCGGACGUGAAAUCCCUCGGCUCAACCGGGGAACUGCGUCCGAUACUGGAUGGCUUGAAUCCGGGAGAGGGAUGCGGAAUUCCAGGUGUAGCGGUGAAAUGCGUAGAUAUCUGGAGGAACACCGGUGGCGAAGGCGGCAUCCUGGACCGGUAUUGACGCUGAGGAGCGAAAGCCAGGGUAGCAAACGGG